rnacentral:rRNA from 1 species
AGUGAACGCUGGCGGUAGGCCUAACACAUGCAAGUCGAACGGCAGCACAGUAAGAGCUUGCUCUUACGGGUGGCGAGUGGCGGACGGGUGAGGAAUACAUCGGAAUCUACUUUUUCGUGGGGGAUAACGUAGGGAAACUUACGCUAAUACCGCAUACGACCUACGGGUGAAAGCAGGGGAUCUUCGGACCUUGCGCGAUUGAAUGAGCCGAUGUCGGAUUAGCUAGUUGGCGGGGUAAAGGCCCACCAAGGCGACGAUCCGUAGCUGGUCUGAGAGGAUGAUCAGCCACACUGGAACUGAGACACGGUCCAGACUCCUACGGGAGGCAGCAGUGGGGAAUAUUGGACAAUGGGCGCAAGCCUGAUCCAGCCAUACCGCGUGGGUGAAGAGGGCCUUCGGGUUGUAAAGCCCUUUUGUUGGGAAAGGAAAGCAGCAGGUUAAUACCCCGCUGUUCUGACGGUACCCAAAGAAUAAGCACCGGCUAACUUCGUG